CAAUACAAAAAACUUUCGCGCGAGUGCCAAAAAACACGACGCCGGCCGCCAUAACGCGCCGCAAAUAAAAAUCAAAAACUAUGUCUAAACUUCAAUAAACUUCUUAAACUAGUCAACAACCCCUGCAGGGAGUUACUGGGCGCCCAUCAAACCAUAAAUAACAUGUGUACAAGUGAUCUGUGUACUGUGUGAGUGGAUCAAGUUGCAGCAACCGGCGGAACUUUGUGUUAGCCAUUAUUCCGUUAAGCAAAGCGAACUACGAUGCUCAAUUGGCCUUCAAAGUGAAAGAAUUGGACAUGGCCCGUAUGAAUGAUAUUGAAGAUACUCCGGCGAGCGAAGCUGCUGAAACGACAGUAACCACGCCUGGCACGUCUACACUUUCUACCAGAUGUACUACGGAAAAACCUUUGCCAAAAUUAAGUGCAAAUUUCUUCCCAA
rnacentral:lncRNA from 1 species